rnacentral:rRNA from 1 species
AUGAUGCUCAUGGGCAGCUUAUCUCUUAUUGGAUUUCCUUUUCUAACAGGAUUUUAUUCUAAAGAUGUGAUCUUAGAGCUCGCUUACACAAAGUAUACCAUCAGUGGGAACUUUGCUUUCUGGUUGGGAAGUGUCUCUGUCCUUUUCACUUCUUAUUACUCCUGCCAGAACUCCUCAGCUCCUGGGGGAGAAUGUUUAAAUCAAAAGGAAGAACAAGGGCGAGUAAAUGAUGGAGACAAAAAAAAACGAUUUAAGGUGGCAUUGUCCACGGAGAAACCACCCCAAAGCCAAGUCACUAUGGUAUCUCCUACUACUGGUAUGGCGCUAGCUAAGCUUGUAAUUACUGUUGCUCCCCAAAAGCUCAUCUAA